rnacentral:rRNA from 1 species
GACGAACGCUGGCGGCGUGCUUAACACAUGCAAGUCGAACGAAGUGGCGAACGGGUGAGUAACGCGUAAUAAACCUCCCCUUCAGAGGGGGACAACAGUUGGAACCGACGGCUAAUACCGCAUCCGGAAGGAGGGGUUUGCGUCUGCUUUGCUAGUUGGCGGGGUAACGGCCACCCAAGGCGAUGAUCAGUGGCCGGUCUGAGAGGAUGAACGGCCACAUUGGGAAUGAGACACGGCCCAGACUCCUACGGGAGGCAGCAGUGGGGAAUCUUCCGCAAUGGACGAAAGUCUGACGGAGCAACGCCGCGUGAGUGAUGACGGCCUUCGGGUUGUAAAGCUCUGUUAAUCGGGACGCGGUACCGGAAUAGAAAGCCACGGCUAACUACGUGCCAGCCGCCGCGGUAAUAC